CACCAUUGGAGUCUCCGCACCAUCGUUCCCUUGUCGAAUCUGUCGCUUCCCUUACCAGAUCUGCUCUCCCCAUGUCGGAUCCAUCAUUCCCUUGUCAGAUCCUCUGCUCUCAUUGUCGGAUCCACCACCCCCUUGUCGGAUCCACCUUCCCAUGUUGGAUCGCUAUCUCCAUCCCUGCACCAUUGUUCCUGCACCGUCAGCAUCUCUGGGCCUAUAUUUUCAUACUUUUGAUGAGUAUUAGCGAUGAUGGCGGCGACAGCAGUUGAGCCAUUGCUUAAAUUUUUUUUAUUUUAAUAUAUUAAUUAAUUUUAAUUAGAUAAUUAAUUAAUUAAUUAGGUAUUAAUUUAAUUAAUUAAUUAAUUAUUUUAUUUAACUAUGAUUAGGGC
rnacentral:lncRNA from 1 species